GAUGAACGCUGGCGGCGUGCUUAACACAUGCAAGUCGAACGAAGCACUUUAUUUGAUUUCCUUCGGGACUGUUUAUUUUGUGACUGAGUGGCGGACGGGUGAGUAACGCAUGGGUAACCUGCCUUGUACAGGGGGAUAACAGUUGGAAACGGCUGCUAAUACCGCAUAAGCGCACAGCAUCGCAUGAUGCAGUGUGAAAAACUCCGGUGGUAUAAGAUGGACCCGCGUUGGAUUAGCUAGUUGGUGAGGUAACGGCCCACCAAGGCGACGAUCCAUAGCCGACCUGAGAGGGUGACCGGCCACAUUGGGACUGAGACACGGCCCAAACUCCUACGGGAGGCAGCAGUGGGGAAUAUUGCACAAUGGGCGAAAGCCUGAUGCAGCGACGCCGCGUGAGCGAAGAAGUAUUUCGGUAUGUAAAGCUCUAUCAGCAGGGAAGAUAAUGACGGUACCUGACUAAGAAGCACCGGCUAAAUACGUG
rnacentral:rRNA from 1 species